CACACACACACACACACACACACUCGCUCUACCUCUCUGACACAGACUCUACUUAGUGCGCUGGAGAGAGUACUGAGGCUCACACUAUCAGCACAGCUUCUCAAUGGGGGGACGCCGCCAAGAGCAGACAGAGCAGUCAUUCCACUGGAGCCUUUCCGCUGCACGCGCGAGAGGGGGACGCUAAGUGAGGGGGGGGGUAAAUUAGCUCCCUGUCAUCCCAACGUAGGAGUUCUACAGACGGAGAGAGAGGGAGGCAGACUCAAGGAAGGAGAGGGAAAAGGAGAUUCUGCUCGUAUGUGGCUGAUGACACAGCGGUGGAAUGAUCAGCCUCCCACCCUUCAAAUCCUGACCAGUUUGUGACAGAGACCCCUGGGGUGUGUGGGUUUUUUUUGCUUUUUGCUUUUGCUGACUGCUUGUGUAGCCAAGGAUUUGAGCGGCAGGGGGUCCGUGGGAGGGAAUACCGUGGAAAAGAAAACAACGCUUUAGCCCCCUUUUUGUGCGCUGCUCUGCUUAUGUUCCGGCUCCUGGAAAUUCAGCGGGAAUCCCUGGCUCCAAAGUAUGGAUGGAUUUAAGACGGAGGAGUGAGUCUGCCGGGCAGGCAGUGAUUCUGACUGAGCCCCUUUCCUCCUGAACGCACUGCUCAGACUCGGCCCUACCAUGUCCUGGUUGUUGGCCGUGUGGAUUAGCCUCGGCUUCCUGUUGCUGUGCCAGGCCACACUCUACCAGACCAUCCAGCAGCACCACGUGGCCCGGCCCGGCCGCACGGAUAUUCUCACCCUGGAAGGAGGGACGUGCGAGGUGAUUGCCGCCCACCGAUGCUGCAACAAGAAUCGUAUCGAGGAGCGUUCUCAGACAGUCAAAUGCUCCUGUUUACCGGGGAAAGUGGCCGGGACGACACGCAACAAGCCCUCCUGCGUGGAUGCGUCCAUUGUAAUUGGCAAAUGGUGGUGUGAGAUGGAACCAUGUCUGGAGGGAGAAGAGUGUAAGACUCUGCCUGACAACUCUGGAUGGAUGUGCUCCUCUGGGAACAAAAUCAAGACCACGAGGGUGAGGCCUCACACAUUCCCUCUCGCGCGCGCACACACGCUCACAGACUGCAUGUACAAUACAUGCCUGCAUAAGUACACUUGCACACAUAUCUAUCUGUGCACACUCACACCAUUUUCACAAAGUAUAAACCUGAAAUGUCAGAUGGAUGUCAAUGUAUUACUCAACAUUUCUUCUUAGACUUGAAAUGAGGACGUCACAAAGAAAUAACAAGAAGCAGUUGUGCUUCGCUGUGAUUGAAUGCUUUGACAAGGCUUCUCUGCCAACUGCCUGCUUCUUUUUUUGAUUAAUCCUUCUGUCACUGAAACAGUCAAACGUGCACAGAAUCAAACCUGUGGGUAAAAAAAGGAUGUGCACAAUUAAAAGUGUAUUGAGAAUGCCCCCUUCUUAACAAGCCGGGUUCAGUUCGGUGCGGGCAACCCAUCUAAGGGCCCGCAGGAGUGAAGAACAAGCACAAAGCAGGCAGUAUACGAACAGGUGGGCUCCGCCUCAGGCUACACUCCUCUCAGAGAUAAAGUUAACGGCCACUCUGCCUCCGCGCUGCCUUUCAGCUCCGCAAACUGACUCCAAAUGCAGCAUGCAAAAAUAAUGAAGCGAUUUAAGUCCUCAAAGCCAGCAGUCCAGCACUCCUGUGACAGGUUGAUCAACCAAUUUGUAUUCAUUUAAUUGACCACUUGCUCGAGAUCUGCAAGGACCCCCCCCCCCCAGACACACACACUGUCACACCCACACCCACCGCCCCCUGUACUCGCUUGGAGCUUGGUGACAAUGACUUUGAAUAGAAGCAGAGACAAAUGUGGUAGUAGGGAACAGCCAGUGAAGGUUAGACCACACGGGGCUUCCCACGGUUGUUAUGCAGAUUUAUCUGCCGGCAGAUAGACAUAAAGCUUUGGCUGGGGCCCCUCGCUGCCACCGCAGGCUUAGAAUUUUCAGAAAGAAGUCGAUCGAAUGGGUGGCUUUCCAGCCUGUCAAGGUAAGGUGCAGUAUUUGGUUUUCUUCAAAGAAUGCAUCUCCAAUUCUCAAUUUAGUCCUCUGCAAAAAUUUGAAAUUAGUAAACUUGAAAUGAUGAGUGUUUUAUUUGCCUUGGAACAACUUAUUUUCCGUGUAUCAUCUUGAGAGACUUCAGUCAAGAUCAGGCUCGGACUGGCGAUCUGGCAAAUCCGGCAAACGCCACACGGGCCGACCCAAUAGUGGGCCGCAGGGCCGCCGCAAUGUUGGAAAACUACUGCAACGCACUCCUCUCCUCGGGACUCCUAGCAAGAGCAUUCAAAAGCUUCAAUACGUCCAAAACAGCGCCGCUAGGAUCCUGAUGAGGAUACGAAAAUAUGAUCACAUCUCACCCGUCCUUCACUCACUCCACUGGCUUCCUGUCUCUUUCAAGGAAUGAAUACAAAAUCUCCCUACGCACCCAUCAGUGCAUCCAUGGCAAUGCCCCUCCCUGCCUCAAAGAUCUACUCUCACCACACACGUCAGAUCGUGACUGACAGUUCAGGGGCAGUUUGUCUGUUUUUGUAUUUAAAGGUGUUCAGGGCUGAGCUAGAAUUUGGACCCAAAAUGCAGACAACCAGACUCCAUGAAGGUUUAAAACAGAUUUAGUCGUCUUUCAAGCAAUAGAGCGUGAAGAUGGAGGGUGGCGACGUUGAGCGGUUGGGUAUAGAAGCAGGAGCAAGGCAGCGUGAGUUCGCCAAUGGUUCCCAGGCAAUGAGUUCCAGGAGUUCAGGACUACCUGCUUACACCGGGCACCGCCUGCCGCAGAAACUGAGCAAAACAAUCAGAGAAGAAAAAAUCUGCUUUGGGUAAAUCGCAGAACAAGACGUACACAAAGUCAUAGAGGAAACUGGUCUAGCGUUUAACCGAGGUCGAGACAAAGCAAUCUGGCAAACAAGUCACAGCUUUUAAUGCAGCCCAGCGAGGAACUCAGGAAGACCACUCCCACUUUAUGUUCGCGGCGCCCCCCAUGAAUGGCGCCCUUAGCAUUCGCCUAUACAGGCUGUGCCGAGGGCCGGCUCUGGCCCCUGCUGUAACACAUAAGUGAUGUUGGGGCGAAGAGUGGGGGCCGGGCCAGAUAAAAUUGCCAGUCCGACCCUGGUCUAGAUGGUAAAUUUUUGCACACAAAUGGAAAAAAAAUGCACAUCCAUGAGUAAAAUUGGCCUAAUUGAAUCCAAAUCUUAAGAGAUGAGGGCCAAGGGUGAGGCCUGAAGCUGUUUUUCUAUCCAAUACACACGUGUCCUUUUUCCCUCUCUUUGCAGAACACCCAGCCAUACUCCCCUUUUUAGCUUCCGGAAGCAAAAUGCAGAGGAUGCGUCCGCACAGAAAUUGAGCUGCAUUCUUGCUUUUGUAAAGAGAGGGAGCCCUUCAUUGCCUGUUCUGUAGCGGCAGACAAGGCGGGCCCUUUUGUUUGUGGGAGUCACAGUGAGAGCGAGGCUGAGGAGCAUCCUUCCAAAACACUCGCCCACCAUAGAUCUGCAUUACCCGCUCCACUGGCUAAAAAGAUCAAUCCCUUUCUGCUCCCUCCGAACAAUUAUACACCUUGAGAGACGAGCAGAUUGAGAGAGGCUGUAAUGAAAACAUCUCUCCUCCUACUCUUCUGCUCUCGUCCCCUGCUUUGGAUGAUAUCGAAAGAAUUCUGUUCAUUCGAGAACCUCACUAUUAGUGAGUGAAUAUGAACACAUCGCCAGUAUCAAGGCAGGAGUGUCAAACUGUACAUGCAUAGUACAAACCUCAUCUGGCAUUAAAUUCAUUUAAAUGGCCUUAUUUAAAAGUAAUUUGACAUGCAGCAUAACAACCCAUGCACAGUAGCUGCACCAUAACACACUCUGACGAGAUGCAGCUCUUGCAUGAGGCAGUUUCAGAGCAAAAGUUGACCUACCGGCAGACACAUCACCGUCUUAAAUUCGUCAAAUCCUCAGUCAAAGUGACCUCCAGCCACGCCACGCCACGCGCAGUCCAACUUCCUCGAGAACACCAUCACCUCUCCCUCACUCUUGUGCAAAAACGUCAUCACGAAGACGAACCCAAACAUCAUACAUGUGGCGUGUCAUUUGGAGUGCAUACUAAACGACGUGUUUUUGAAAAAGUGCGAGACGGCGAGCUGACAGAUGGCUGCAAGGACUGCCCAGGUUGCCUCCCUCCUGGCAUUUUUAUACAGGUUUAAUGUGGAGGAGUUUGUUCCAAGUGCUGCCAAUUAAUUUAUAACCCCUUAUUUUUUUUUUUCCUAUUCCCAUUGUCAAUGUCACAUUAAAUGGAGCUUGAUGUAUGUUGUUGUGUGGAGUCUUCUGUUUGUAGCGGGUGAUCUUUAGUGCAGUUCGGAGAGGUUUCUCAGCUGGCAUGAUUGAUUUUGUUCAGAGAGAGAGAGAGAGAGAGAAAGGGGGAAAGGGUAGGCUGUGUUUGCUCUAAAUUCUUUAGCUAAGGCAAUUGUCCUUGGCUCCUUUUACUAACUGACGUCUGGGCAAAUUGCAAUUUAAUGCGGGCCAGCAAAUUAGAAUGCAGAUGGCUUAGUUGCCAGCAAAGACGGAAUAGGCAGGAAAAUCCUUGAGCGAUCCGCUGCUACCUGCUGCACUGUUCGUUUGAGGAGACGGAGGACAAAAGAGAACAGAGGACACUUUUAGUCUCUCACGUGCGUGUGGGUUGAAAUGACAACAUUUGCAUACAACCCCUCUUUUUUUCCUGCCAACAAACCUCUGGUGGAUUGCGUCCGAUGCAGCGAGUGAGCCGUAGUGUGCAACCCGUUGCUGCUCAUGUUCUGGCAGGGGUCAUCCUCUGCUCUGCGACAUUUCGGUGGGCCGUCGCACAGCAGAUGACACGGAUGCAAAUGCGCGCACGGACUAGCCCAGAGGAUUACUUUGUUUAAAGAUCACGAGAGGGAAGGGAGUAAAUCUGUAAAGAGAAAGACGCUGUGACAAGACCUGGAGGGGAAACGUAAAAUCGGAGAUCUUGUCGGUGUUUUGAAGCACACAGAGGAGCAGCUGCCGUGCGACUGCUUAACAGGCAUCAUAUAGUCAGCAGAGGAGAAAACCUCAGUACUGAUUACUGUACAUCAGUUACUGUUUCUUUUUAAUCUUUCUUCAAAAGUAAUAUGAUAUAAAAAAAGGACUUCCAUGGUUGUAGAAGCUUUACUGGGAUCAGUGUCCUUAAGACAAGAUGGAACUAGAAACGUGUGCAAUCAUGCAAAUAUGUUAUUUUAAUAAUAGAAAAUAUUGAGACAUCAUUUCCUCCAUCAAAUUAUAAAAGAUAAUUCCAUUUUAAGUAAGUAGUUGUUUGGAUCCUAACAGAAGUGGAAACAGACAGAGUCUGAGCUGCAAAUGACACGUCUACACCUCAUAACACGAUGAAUUAAAUAAUUAUUUUGUUUUGAAAACUGGUGAAACAAUAUGAUCAGUAUUUUUCAAAAUGUAAUUUGACUUUGCAGUGUAUUCAAAUUAAUUACAUGGUUAGGGUUAAAUGAUUAUCAAAUACGAUCAAAUUAAACGUGGUCAACCGAGAAAAUAAUUGCACUGUGGGGGUUUUUUUCCGCUGUUUCUAUUCAAUGUUGAUAUUAAAUGAAACAACUCAUAAUGCCUGAGAGUCCCCUGCUUCUCCCGAUUGUUCUCUGAAGCAUAUUCCCCGAAAUAACUCACAAUACAGUAGGUGAGUAGCAGGUGCACACUACUCUAGAAAAAAAAAUUGGUUAAUAAAAUCAUUUGGCUCUCUUGCUGUAGCUUUUCCAAAACACUGGAGCCCUUGGACUCUCACAGAGUCCCAAACAGCGACGUCCACAAUCGGACCCACACACCCGGCCGCCGCCUGCCAAGCGUGCCGGAAAUGUCAUGGCUGUAUUUCUUAGUUGAGCAGGAUUAGGGGAUUUCUAAUUGGCUCCAGUGUGUCCAGAUGACUUCCGAUUCAUUCACUGUAAAAUCUCAGAGCAGUGAAAUAACUGGAAAAACUAGUUGGGCUGCGGUAAAAGGUAAAAGAAUGAAUCCGACAAACAUCCACAGGCUUGUGCUGUGCAGACAGUCAUGCGAGGCCUCAGAGCUCAACUGCGUUAACCGUUGCAG